rnacentral:rRNA from 1 species
AACGAACGCUGGCGGCGUGUUUAAGACAUGCAAGUCGCACGGGAUCAGAUAUGUAGCAAUACUUGUCUGGUUUAGUGGCGCACGGGUGAGUAACACGUGAAUGACAUGCCCCGCAGAGGGGGAUAGCCCAGGGAAACUUGGAUUAAUACCCCAUGGUAUCGCGAGAUUAAACGGUGGCCGCAAGGCUGUCGCCGCGGGAUUGGUUCGCGCCCUAUCAGCUAGUUGGCGGGGUAACGGCCCACAAAGGCUACGACGGGUACCUGGUCUGAGAGGACGAUCAGGCACACUGGAACUGAGACACGGUCCAGACACCUACGGGUGGCAGCAGUCGAGAAUAAUUCACAAUGGGGCAACCCUGAUGGUGCAACGCCGCGUGGAGGAUGAAGGUCUUCGGAUUGUAAACUCCUGUCAUCCGGGAGCAAGACCUGACGGUGAAUAGCCGGCAGGGUUGAUAGUACCGGAAGAGGAAGGGACGGCUAACUUCGUGCCAGCCGCCGCGGUAACAC